rnacentral:rRNA from 1 species
UCGAGCGGUAGCACAGGGGAGCUUGCUCCCCGGGUGACGAGCGGCGGACGGGUGAGUAAUGUCUGGGAAACUGCCUGAUGGAGGGGGAUAACUACUGGAAACGGUAGCUAAUACCGCAUAACGUCGCAAGACCAAAGAGGGGGACCUUCGGGCCUCUUGCCAUCAGAUGUGCCCAGAUGGGAUUAGCUAGUAGGUGGGGUAAUGGCUCACCUAGGCGACGAUCCCUAGCUGGUCUGAGAGGAUGACCAGCCACACUGGAACUGAGACACGGUCCAGACUCCUACGGGAGGCAGCAGUGGGGAAUAUUGCACAAUGGGCGCAAGCCUGAUGCAGCCAUGCCGCGUGUGUGAAGAAGGCCUUCGGGUUGUAAAGCACUUUCAGCGGGGAGGAAGGUGUUGUGGUUAAUAACCGCAGCAAUUGACGUUACCCGCAGAAGAAGCACCGGCUAACUCCGUGCCAGCAGCCGCGGUAAUACGGAGGGUGCAAGCGUUAAUCGGAAUUACUGGGCGUAAAGCGCACGCAGGCGGUCUGUCAAGUCGGAUGUGAAAUCCCCGGGCUCAACCUGGGAACUGCAUUCGAAACUGGCAGGCUAGAGUCUUGUAGAGGGGGGUAGAAUUCCAGGUGUAGCGGUGAAAUGCGUAGAGAUCUGGAGGAAUACCGGUGGCGAAGGCGGCCCCCUGGACGAAGACUGACGCUCAGGUGCGAAAGCGU